rnacentral:rRNA from 1 species
UACGGGGGGAGCAAGCGUUGUUCGGAAUUACUGGGCGUAAAGGGCUCGUAGGUGGUCAACUAAGUCAUACGUGAAAUCCCUCGGCUUAACCGGGGAACUGCGCCUGAUACUGGUUGACUUGAGUUUGGGAGAGGGACGCGGAAUUCCAGGUGUAGCGGUGAAAUGCGUAGAUAUCUGGAGGAAUACCGGUGGCGAAGGCGGCAUCCUGGACCGACAUUGACGCUGAGGCGCGAAAGCCAGGGGAGCAAACGGG